CAUGCACACACACACUCAGGUCAUGUGUGUUGGCUUUGUUGCCCUUUCUGAUUGUAUAGCUGUAGUAGUAUGCUUUCUCCAGGUACAGCAGAGACAGGAGAUAGCAGGAGACAGGAAACAUCAGGAGACAUCAGGAGACAUCAGGAGACACCAGGAGACACCAGGAGACAUCAGGAGACAGCAGGAGACAGCAGGAGACAACAGGAGACAUCAGGAGACACCAGGAGACACCAGGAGACACCAGGAGACACCAGGAGACAACAGGAGACAUCAGGAGACACCAGGAGACACCAGGAGACAACAGGAGACACCAGGAGACACCAGGAGACACCAGGAGACACCAGGAGACAUCAGGAGACACCAGGAGACACCAGGAGACAUCAGGAGACAGGAGACACCAGGAGACAUCAGGAGACACCAGGAGACACCAGGAGACACCAGGAGACACCAGGAGACACCAGGAGACACCAGGAGACACUAGGAGACAUCAGGAGACACACCAGGAGACACCAGGAGACACUAGGAGACACUAGGAGACAACAGGAGACAACAGGAGACACCAGGAGACACCAGGAGACAUCAGGAGACACCAGGAGACAUCAGGAGACACCAGGAGACACCAGGAGACAUCAGGAGACACCAGGAGACACCAGGAGACAUCAGGAGACACCAGGAGACACCAGGAGACAUCAGGAGACAACAGGAGACAACAGGAGACAUCAGGAGACACCAGGAGACAUCAGGAGACACCAGGAGACACCAGGAGACACCAGGAGACAACAGGAGACACCAGGAGACACCAGGAGACACCAGGAGACACCAGGAGACACCAGGAGACAACAGGAGACACCAGGAGACACCAGGAGACACCAGGAGACAUCAGGAGAUAGAGGAAGGUAUCCAAACUGCAGACCGAUGACGUCUCCAUGAGACUGCAAGACGGAAGUCUCCAAACUGCAAUGUGGGAGCCACCAGGCUGCAGUAGGUAAGUUCUCUACCAGGCCUGAAGACAAAGGCUUCCAGUGGGGAGCUGUCAGAGGGAGGUCUCCAAAGCUGCAGAGGUCUCCACCAGCCAGCUGCUGGCCACUAGAGGGAGGUCUCCACCAGCCAGCUGCAGGCCACUAGAGGGAGGUCUCCAAAGCUGCAGAGGUCUCCACCAGCCAGCUGCAGGCCACUAGAGGGAGGUCUCCAAAGCUGCAGAGGUCUCCACCAGCCAGCUGCAGGCCACUAGAGGGAGGUCUCCAGACUGUGCAGUGGGCUGGCUGGGCCGGAGGAUGCAGCUGAUUUACUGGUGGUGUCGAUGGUGAGGUUGAUGCCGCUGUCGACGGCGUUGUUGUUCUUGUUGGGGGACUGGGGCUGGCUGCCUGUCU